rnacentral:ncRNA from 1 species
UGGGUGAUGAGCCGGUGUUCGUUCUUGCGUCGGUGGUGAAUCCAAUGUCUCUCUCGGACAUCAGAUUCAUCCUCGGCGUGGGUUCGUUCUGAGAUUAUACGGCCUUUAACUUGAUCUGGAUAAUACCAGCGAAAGGAUCAUGCCCUCCCCUCCC